rnacentral:rRNA from 1 species
UACAGAGGGGGCAAGCGUUGUUCGGAAUUACUGGGCGUAAAGGGCGCGUAGGCGGCCUUCUAAGUCGAACGUGAAAUCCCCGGGCUUAACCUGGGAACUGCGUUUGAAACUGGGAGACUUGAGUGUGGCAGAGGGGGGUGGAAUUCCACGUGUAGCAGUGAAAUGCGUAGAUAUGUGGAGGAACACCGAUGGCGAAGGCAGCCCCCUGGGUUAACACUGACGCUCAUGCACGAAAGCGUGGGGAGCAAACAGG